CCCUUAGAUGUCCUGGGCCGCACGCGCGCUACACUGAGUGUCUGAGAUACGAGUCUGCCUGGUCCGGCAAGGUCUAGGUAAUCGCUAAAAGACACAUCAUGCUUGGGAUAGAUUAUUGCGAAUAUUAAUCUUGAACGAGGAAUUCCUAGUAAGCGCAAGUCAACAGCUUGCGUUGAUUACGUCCCUGCCCUUUGUACACACCGCCCGUCGCUACUACUGAUUGGAUGUUUAAGCGAGGUUCUCGAACUGCUAGCGACUUAGCUUCGGUGAGGUCGCAGUGUGGGAAGUGAACCUAGCUUUGGUGUCUAGAGGAAGUAAAAGUCGUAACA
rnacentral:rRNA from 1 species